rnacentral:rRNA from 1 species
UACAGAGGUCCCGAGCGUUGUUCGGAUUCAUUGGGCGUAAAGGGUGCGUAGGCGGCGGGGCAAGUCUGAUGUGAAAUCCCGGGGCUCAACCCCGGAACUGCAUUGGAUACUGCCUUGCUUGAGUACUGGAGAGGGAACUGGAAUUUACGGUGUAGCAGUGAAAUGCGUAGAUAUCGUGAGGAAUACCAGAGGCGAAGGCGGCUACCUGGACAAUUGCUGACGCUCAGGCACGAAAGCGUGGGGAGCAAAAGGG